GAACUAAGUGGGAAUUUUAAUUAGCAGAUAAAAUUGCAACCAACAAAAUAAAUUAUUACAAAUAUACCUCAACUUUCUUCAUAUUGAACCAUAUAUACCAUGUAAUUGACAAAUUUUGAAGAAGAGGAAUAGGGAAAAACAAAACAUAACUUAAUUAAUUAAAGAAAUGAUAGGACUAGUUACUAAUUAUGCCACAACUUGCAACAUAUAUAGUAAUAAUAUAAUUAUGGUAUUACAUAAAUAGUAGUCUUUGUUCACCAUUUCUCUAAUUAAUUACUCAGCCAACUAAAAUCUUAUAGUAUUUGGGCCGUAGCAAUUUAACUCAAUAACUUUCUUCAUGGACUCUUCCUUGGUUCUCUUGAUCUUGUUGGAAACAGCAGCAUUAGAAGCAGAAGACAAUUUCCUAGCUUGUGUGUAUGAUCUUAUGUUGUUCUUUGCAUAUUGUUGGAUUGAUCUGAAAGCAUAGUUCCAUCUACAAACACCCAAUUGAUCUUUCAAUGCUUCCACUGCUCCUAUGCUUGAUGCUACAAUCCAAGCUUUACUUGAUGCACUCAUGUUGUUAUAUAGGAUAUUGUACAAAAGAGAGAGAUAUAGAGAAAGAGAGAUCUAUGUGUUUUUGAUUUGAUGGUGAUUUGGGUAUGUGUAUAUUGAUCCUUAUAUAUAUGAGGUUAGGAGAGUGAUUUGUUAGAAGUAAGAAACUAGGGGCAAUUUUGGGGUGAAACCAGAAAAGAAUAGGUAAAACCAGGGGCUAUUACAACUUGUGGCACCAAUAGUUUGGUAAGGAAUCUUGGAUCUUGG
rnacentral:lncRNA from 1 species